rnacentral:sRNA from 1 species
CGGCAGCGAGGGGCUCGCAGAGGUGCUCGGAUUCUCGUAGCUGUGCCGGCCCAUAAUGAUUCUGAGCUAAAACACAAAGUAAAAACCAGAUUCAUUGCCACCAGCGCUCACCUCGCCUGACUUAAAAAAAGGUUAUGCUCCUUUAGAUCUGUAAACUCAGUCUCCUGACUGCCCUUCAUCCACUUUCUCAUCCAUCUGAAAUCCUCAUAUUUUGUAGAAGCCUGUUCUGUAAGUCUCUCUUUCCAGUUUCGUACAACAGAUACUCCUUCACAGCAAAGAUCUUUCACGUAAUCCCUCAAAACUAAAGACUCGGGCUGGAUGUGGUGGCUCACGCCUGUAAUCUCAGCACUUUGGGAGGCCGAGGCAGAUGGAUCACGAGGUCAGGAGUUCAAGACCAGCCUGCCCAAGGUGGUGAAACCCCGUCUCUACUAAAAAUACAAAAAUUAGCCGGGCAUGGUGGUGGGCGCCUGUAAUCCCAGCUACUCCAGAGGCUGAGGCAGAGAAUUGCUUGAACCCUGGAGGUGGAGAUUGAGAUGGCGCCACUGCAUUCCAGCCUGGGCGACAGAGCAAGACUCGGUCUCAAAAAUAAAUAAAUAAAUAAAAAUAAAUAAAUA